ensembl:lncRNA
AUUCAAAAUACUAUAACCCUUUCUACACCUCUAAAGUACAUUCAUAUUGUACUAAUUCCACACAUACUUGCUGGAAAAUUCAGUUCAGUGUUAGAUGAAAGUAUUACUAUCCUCGAUAAUGUCCUACCCUAUUGCUCACAGCAAAAACCAUAACUUUCUCAGCAAAAACACUAGCCACAACACCACUACCGUAUUCCACCCAAGUUUACAUAUUAGUUUUAAUUCUGUCUCCAGCCUCCACACUGGGAGUCACUCCAUCUUCAGUUCCAACACCAAUCCCCACAACAGAACCUUCCCCAACAUCGUCUCCAAUAAUGUCCUCAACACCCCAACCCACGGCAUCAGUAGUUCCAACACACAUGUCUACAUCACAACCCAGCACCACACCAGCUCUUUUAUCAACUUCACCUUCUGAGCUCAGUAGAACUCCACAUUCAACACCAACCACAGCCUUAGAGCCCACAACACCAGCUCUAUCAUCACCAGCUCUAUCAUCACCAGCCCCCUCAGGCUCCACCACAUCCCCAGAUCAACCAUCAUCAUCCAACCCCACCACAAUUACACCUCAAACAUCAACCACCCUAACACCAGCUCUAUCAUCAUCAGCCCCCUCAGGCUCCACCACAUCCCCAGAUCAACCAUCAACAUCAGAACCCAUCACAGCAUCACCUCAAACAUUCACUUCAACAUCACAGUCUACGGCACAAUCUUUAUCCUCAGACUCAGUGACCAUCACAACACAGGCUUCAUCGUCUGUCUCUACCUUCCCUUCAUCUACACGAGCAGAUCCAACUCAAACAUCUGUUUCUAUAUCCGCCACAACACCAGCUCUAUCAUCAUCAGCCCCCUCAAGCUCCACCACAUCCCCAGAUCAACCAUCAUCAUCCAACCCCACCACAAUGACACCUCAAACACCAACCUCAACACUAGAAUUGACUGCAUUAUCUUCAGCAUCAACAUCAAUACUACAAACCACCACAACACCAUCUCUAACAGCAGCCUCUACUUUAGGCUCCACCACACCACCAGAUCAACCAUCAACAUCAGAACCCAUCACAGCAUCACCUCAAACAUUCACUUCAACAUCACAGUCUACGGCACAAUCUUUAUCCUCAGACUCAGUGACAAUCACAACACAGGCUUCAUCGUCUGUCUCUACCUUCCCUUCAUCUACACGAGCAGAUCCAACUCAAACAUCUGUUUCUAUAUCCGCCACAACACCAGCUCUAUCAUCAUCAGCCCCCUCAAGCUCCACCACAUCCCCAGAUCAACCAUCAUCAUCCAACCCCACCACAAUGACACCUCAAACAUCAACCUCAACACUAGAAUUGACUGCAUUAUCUUCAGCCUCAACCUCAAUACUACAAACCACCCUAACACCAGCUAUAACAGCAGCCUCUACUUUAGGCUCCACCUCACCACCACAACCAUCAACAUCAGAACCCAUCACAGCAUCACCUCAAACAUUCACUUCAACAUCACAGUCUACGGCACAAUCUUUAUCCUCAGACUCAGUGACAAUCACAACACAGGCUUCAUCGUCUGUCUCUACCUUCCCUUCAUCUACACCAGCAGGUCCAACUCCAACAUCUGUUUCUGAAUCCGCCACAACCCCAGUUCCAUCUACACCAAAUUUAACAGCAACAUCAGCAAAUCUAGAAACAAACGCCACAGCACUCACAUCCACAAAUGGAGUGUUCAAGCAAUCAUCAACUCAAGCUGCCACAACAAUGAUGGAAAAUGCAACUUCAGCCCCAGCAUCACAGCCCAACACAACAGCUGCAACAAUGAUACCAACAGCAGGAGUGUUCAAGCAAUCAUCAACUCAAGCUGCCACAACAAUGAUGGAAAAUGCAACUUCAGCCCCAGCAUCACAGCCCAACACAACAGCUGCAACAAUGACACCAACAGCAGCUCCCCAAACAACUGCGGCUCCACAGCCUGCUCCAGUCACAGCAGCAUCUAUCCCCGAGCCAGAAGUCAAACUGGAAUUCAAACUGGAGCAGACGUUCACACCACAACUGCAGAACACCUCUUCAACAGCAUUUAAAAGCUUGGCUACUAAACUGUCUUCAGCGGUAGGAUUAUAACUUUUUCCACUUUUUAAGAAUGUCUGUCAUUCAUUCUAUUAUCAUAAUUUAAAAGAUAUCGGGUAAUGCUUUACAAUA